AAGCCAGCUUCACUUUUCUGCAAAAUUUUCCAUAAGAACUGCAGGCUUGACUCCAAGAAUCUUCCUUGGCACCAUUAUAAGCCAGGUAGUAUAUUUCCAUUGUUGCAGCAAUUGAUGUGAUUAUUAUAUAGGCUACAAUCUGUAGAAAUAUAAAUUAUUAAUAAGCAACAAAAUUGAAUGAUCCAUCCUAACCUUUAAAUAAAAUCCAUUAGUAUAGUAAUACAGAAGAUUUAAAAUUUCGGUUAUUGCCUAUUAGCUCCUUUAAUUUAUCACACUUUAUUUUAUAAUCAUAUUUAUUGCAAUUUUAUUUCCAACCUUGAUUUUUACCUCUAAAAUAGUUAUUUUUUACUACAAAAAUUAAGAUUUAUGGUUCUAAUAGUUAGGAAUCCGUAAAAACUAUUGAAUGUGACCAUAACUGCAAUAAAUAUGAAAAUUGAGGGAUCAAAAUGUUCAAUUUUAAAAGUGGAGGAAGAUUUUCAUUAAUGGGAUGAUAUAGAAGAAUUAAAAGUAAAAUUAAACCUUAAUUACUUCAUCCAAACACAUUUAUCUAUAAAAAAAAUUGUGAUGGAAUAUAGAUUAAUCAAACCAAUUGAAGGGAAAAUUUGAAUCCAAAAAGAAAAAUUUUAAAGUUGUUUUUUUGAAGUAUUUCAGAAAGUUGAUUAACAAAUGACAGUACAUAAAUGUAAGAAAAUAAUGGUCAUGCAAAUUGGAGAGAUCCAACAAAUAAUCAGUGGUACACUAUUGAAUUGAAUUAUUUAAUUAAUGGUAAACGACAAGCUUCAAACCUGAUCAGAUAUAAAGAAAAUCCAUGCUUUUGUUACCACAUAUUUGACCCAUGAACAAGCUGCGGCAACAAUAGCAUAACAAGUACACAGGGCACUCACAUAAACCAUAUACCUGCAGAAAAAAGAUACAAUACUGACACGAUAUAAACACCUAUAAAUAUUUUAAAAAAUUGAAAUCCUCGUAUCUAAUCACAAUUGUUAGUGUUGAACAACACAUCUUUAAUUUGAAGUAUCUGUACAAGAUAACUUUUUAUUCUAUAACAAAAUUGAUAAUAAUCACAAAAAGCGAAGAGAAAAAUUUAAUGUCGUUUUCUUACUUGAGACCAGAAAAGUUGCUAUAUCUCAGUGUUCCAUAGCUAGUGUUGUCCUGGUUGUUAGUCACUGUAAUCCAUACGGUUGCCAAAGACAGGGGAACCGCACAGAGUCUCAGAGAUGAAUCAAAAAGCUUAAGCAUAGGGAGAUGAUUUUGAAUUGAAGAAGUUUCAUCAACACGUGUUCUACUCAUAUUUUUAUUCACAAGCUUAGAUCAACAAUUGUUUUAAGUUUAAUUGGUAGUGUGAUAUACCAACACCAUUUAUAUAGGGAGUAAGAUUAUGAUGAUGUGUUUGGAUCAGGAUUUACAGCAAUCACCUUUCUGAUUGAUUGCUGUGCAAUUAGAUAUAUUUGGAACGUCCAAUUAAUACUGAUCGAUUUAUAUUUUAAGCUCAGAUUUUAAAAUUUAAAAUCUAAACUGCUUGAUCUUAAUUGGACGAUUUUGAUUCAUCAUCUUGCACCGGAGUCCACUCGGGUUAAAAGAAAUCCCAUCAUAGUGAUGUGUUAGUGGAGCUGGUGAGAUUAGUGGAAUAUACGCUUUUUCUGAUGUAAUCGUGAUGCUUUUGGUUGGUUGGUAGGCUUGUGAAAAUAUCAUGAUUGGUUCCACUUCCGUUUGCCAGUGUGGCGCUAUAUCUUUUUUCCAAAGUUGUUUAUGUCAUUCAUGUUCAUACUUUUAGUCUCAAUUGAUAAUUAUACUUAGCGAUUCAAAAGUGGGUAAGAACACUUUACUAUUGACAUUAUUAUUUUAAAUCUAACAAGACUAAUUAAUUGGUCAAUAUAAUUGCUAAAAUUUAUUAUGAAUGUUGGUUGACGAAAAUACUUUCUCUUAAGUUGGUGAGUAAAUAUUUAUCGUUCUUAACUUUCAAAUAAUUUGGUUUAAUUUCGUUCUAAUUUGGUCAUUUGUCAAUAGUAUAAUUGUAAGGUCUCUUAGUUAGUUUAGACUUAAUGUUUUGGAUUAUGUUAAAUGUAGUUUAGUUUAGAUGAUGUGUAUAUGCUUUGUUGAUUUUCAUCUCAAUCUCUUACAAAUGCUACUUGAACAAGAAAGAACUCAUGAAAAACAAUGUUUUAUCAUGGAUAAACUUUGUUUCAUGUUGUUUGCAUGCAUAAACUUUGUAUCGUGUUCAUUUUAUAUUGACACACUUUCUAAGUGACUUUUAACUUUCUAAAUCUACUUACAAACUUAUAAAUCGACUUACAAACCUCAAAAACUCAGCUUUUUAUGUCAUAAGGUUGUGAAUAAAUUCACCUGUGAAUCGAUUCACCGUCAAAUUAGAAUGUUCUAAGAGUUGAUUUAGACAUGUGCGAAUCAAAUCACAAUGUUCUAAACUUCAAAAUUAGUUUUUUAAACUUGUGUAAGUUGAUUCAAAAGCUUGUAAAUCGACUAACCUGUAGACUUGACUUUUUUUGACAAUUUUGAGGUAGUUAUGACAAUUAAAAAAUUGUUAUUUCUUGUGGAAAACGUUUCUCAUUUGCUAAUUUUAUCAUGUAUCAUAUAUAAGCAUUCCCAAAAAAAAUUAAUCUAAGAAUAUUAUCCUCAUUCAUCAAUCUCAUGCAUUAAAGAUCAUAACAUAGAUUGGAAACUUUUUCUUAUUCAGUGUGUGCAAUCGAGAAUAUAAUAUUGGUGCAAGAAACAACAUUAUGGGUAUAUCGUUUGUUGGGAUGCCAAUUGUAGACAUGGAUCAUCAAUGGCGUAUUAGCAUGAUGUGUCGAAUAACUAAGUAGGGAAGAUUUGUAGGGGUUCUAGAGAGGUGUCUCUAGUUUUCCUAUUUUUUAAGGUUUGAAGUGGAAUAUUCAUCUUGAAGAUACAGCUAUUUAGAAUACAAAGGUUUGUCCAAAAACUAUUAUUCAAGAUCUUUUAGUAAAAAGGGAUUUGCGUGCAUGUAUAUGUAACAAUCGUUGGCGGUUCUUGUAAAUGUUAAAAAAAAAAAAAUUAAGAAAAAACUAUUAUUUUGCAAGUGAAGAAGAGACAUAUGAGCCAUUAUAAAUC
rnacentral:lncRNA from 1 species